GUGUUCUCACUUUAGCAGCAUAUAUACUAAAACUAGAAUGAACCAGAAAAGGUUAGAAUUGCUUCUGUACAAAAAUGACAUUAAAAUUUGUGAAAUAUUCCAUAUUUUU
ensembl:snRNA U6 U6 spliceosomal RNA